AUUGAACGCUGGCGGCAUGCUUUACGCAUGCAAGUCGAACGGCAGCGCGGGGCAACCUGGCGGCGAGUGGCGAACGGGUGAGUAAUACAUCGGAACGUACCCAGAAGUGGGGGAUAACGUAGCGAAAGUUACGCUAAUACCGCAUACGUUCUACGGAAGAAAGUGGGGGAUCUUCGGACCUCAUGCUUUUGGAGCGGCCGAUGUCUGAUUAGCUAGUUGGUGAGGUAAAGGCUCACCAAGGCGACGAUCAGUAGCUGGUCUGAGAGGACGACCAGCCACACUGGGACUGAGACACGGCCCAGACUCCUACGGGAGGCAGCAGUGGGGAAUUUUGGACAAUGGGCGCAAGCCUGAUCCAGCAAUGCCGCGUGAGUGAAGAAGGCCUUCGGGUUGUAAAGCUCUUUUGUCAGGGAAGAAACGGCUGGGGCUAAUAUCCCCGGCUAAUGACGGUACCUGAAGAAUAAGCACCGGCUAACUACGUGCCAGCCGCCGCAGUAA
rnacentral:rRNA from 1 species